rnacentral:tRNA from 1 species
UCCCUGUGGCUCAGUUGGUAGAGCAUGGUGUGUGCAACGCCAGGGUUGUGGGUUCAAUUCCCAUGGGGAG